GACCUUUCUGGAGAGGAGGUCGCUGUCGCCUGGGCUGACAAGGUUAAGAAAAUAAACAGUAAAACACCUGGGAGGAGACACGUGGAGGGCUUCGAGGGGCUGAGGGGUAUUGGAAUAGCCUUGUGCAGCUUCUCAGCCCAUGGAAACUCACAGGAAUACACCUAAGAAACCUACAGGAAAAAAAAAAAAAAAGAUUAAAAGGCUACAAAACCUGGUGGAAACAUUACAGAUGAACAGCCAAGCUUUGUCAUCAAUGAUCAAAGUUCAGGAAAUGAAGAUUGAGGAAGCAAGUGAAAAUGAGAACAAAGCUAUUAAAGUGAAGAGAUUUGUUUACAUUAAUGACUACUUUCAAGUGGAUGACAGGAGGACAGUUAGGCAAAUGUUGACCACAGCAGGACAUCACAGAUGGCGACCAGCAUACUACAGAUAAAAUCUAACUCCAGCCUAGUAUAUUUGAACGGAUCGGGUAAAGAGUGCCCAAACAGUAAGUUUAUCUCCCAAAGAAAAUGUAGGUUGGGUAUGGUUUUUUGCAGAGGCAACUGCAAAAUAAAUAGGAAGCAGACAAGAUGCAAUGCAAGUUUCUGUACAUGAUUUAAAAGUAGUUAAUGUUCAGAAAGAGCCCUGUCCUCAUCCAAGCUGCAGGCUGUUUGCUCAGUUUCCCAUCUAGGGAUACCGUUUGGCAUCUGUACACCAACCUACUUCACAAAUAAGACUAGAUUGUAUUUCACCUAAAAGUAAUCACAUUGUCUAAUAGUUUGUUUUCAUCAGCCUGAGCUGGUCAUUGUAAGCUGUAGGCCUUUGGUUGCAGUUGUGAGUGAGGCUAUUUAUUAUUCUUUUCUAGAAAUUCUGAGCUGCUGACUGCUAGAUCCACAUAGGAAUGUCAGUAAGAAUCUUUUUCUCACGUAUAGCUUCGUUAGUCUCGCAGCCAGGACACUGUUAUACAAGUCCCAUGCCAUUCUAGCACAACCAUUUCUAUGCAGCAGGAUAGCUUUGUUCAAAUCUAUGUUGUUGUGGUUCAGCCAGACAGACAGCUAAACAGCACAGUCAUUUGUUCACAUCCCCUCCAUGUGCACCCUGCAGUGGACUGGGGAAGAAAAAUGGAAAGUGCAAGAGCUCGUGGCUUGAGAUAAGGACAGUUUAAUAAAACAGAGAAAAGGAAAGAAAAAAUAACUGUCCCGUUGCUAAUUUGAGUCAGUUGUCCUGGUUCUGUCCCUUCCUAGCUCCUUGCUGGCACGGUGGUAUGAGAAUCUGGAAAGUCCUUGACUUAGUGCAAGCACAGCUCAGGAACUAAAAUGUCCGUGCGUUAUCAACAUUGUUCUCAUCCUAAAUCCAAAACACAGCACCAUACCAGCUACUAGGAAGAAAAUUAACUCUAUCCUAGCCAUAACCAAGACACAUUUUCAGACUUGAAUGAAUAGAUUGUUCAGUAAUGAGGAACUGCCUCUCUGAGAAGUCAAUAAUCAACUGCAGUAUUCAACAACACAGAAAUCCAAAUUUCCUUUUUUCCACCAUACAAAUGGCAUUUCGUUUACAUAGCAUAAGCCCUGCAGGGCAAGCAGUGAUGUGAACAGGAUCAUAAUUUAGAUUUUACAAUAAAAACACAAUGCAGGUCACUGUAGAAGCCUAGUUCGAUCAUUGAGCAAGAUGAUGAAAUCAUGAGGACUGUACGUGCAGUCUGCUGGAUCAAAGUGCAUGGUGUUUAACUAAAAUAUUAUCCUCAAUUUGAGGGACUUCUUAGGGUUAGCCUGUUUGAAACAUGUUCAUUAUUGCAUUAAGGAAUCUAUUCUAGUGUAGGUUAAGUGGCUUUCUGGCGAAUACCUUAAUCUAACGCCACCAUUAAUCUACUCAGAUAAAUCUGUAAUAUAUGUAUAAAUACACUCAAAUGGCAAUGGCUGUUCAACCAGUGCUUAAACCUAAAGUUGACAUUAUCUCACUGUUUGAAGAGAUGGUGAAAAUGGGAAAAACUUUAGAUCUCUUGGAAUAACAAGUUUUGCACAGGCAUCUGUGAUUCAUGAAGAUGAGCUUCUGUUUCAACUAUGUAUGUGUGUAUAUUAUUCUCCUUGUUAGGUAAGAGCAAAAAUGUAGCUGAGUUUCAAGGCACUUAGUUUCAGCAUAGUUCUUAUUCACUUGAAGCCAGAUGUUACUGACUGAAACCCACAGAAAUGUUUUGUCUGUUCACUGGCAGCACACGUGGACAGAACAGAGCUUUCUGCUGACCCAUGGAAAGCACAGUCAUAAUUAAAGAGGAGAAAUAGUUGUUACAAUGAAGCAGUAGCCCCUUUGAUGAAACGAGCCUCAUGCUAAUAAUUUUUAAACCAAGGGUAUGCUAAAUAGGUCCUAAUCCUUUUAAAUUCAUGUGGUAAAUAAUUAAGUCUCAUAUUAGUUUUCUGUUGAGAGUUCAGGAGCAGUGUGUACACUUUUACCUGUUUAAGAUCACUGAGGUAGCAGCAAUCAGCUGCUGAAUUGUCAACUCAUUCCUCCCUCUUUUGCACCCAGUUUCUAGUGACCCUACAUACCUUCCAGACUCUACAACUCUUCUCGCACAGAAGCAGGGGUGCUUUUCUUCCUAGGCUAGCAGUAAACAACAAGAUUGCAGUGAGUCUUGAAUUCAACUUUCACGCCCCAUUUCCUACCUUAUUCUCGUGUAGGAAAGGUCCCUUGAGGAAGGAAAGCAAACUUCUUCACCUGAAUCUUUAUGUUGUUCAAGACAACCAGCAAGCAAAGAUAAUGUUGGUACUUGAAGUAACUAACCCACAGAAUAAGUCUCUGUUAUACAUAUGACCAUUGGGAGGGGCUUGGUUUACCUGAGAAUGCAAACUAGCACUCUAAAACAGUCUAGAGCGCCUAUUCAGACUGCUGCACCAUGUAAAGCAGGAAAACAUAAUAGAAACAAUGAGCUUUGCAAUGUGCUUUUGAAGUGUAUGUUCCAAACCUCCUAUAAAACUAUGCUCUCCAGGUUUGUUCUAGUAAAGGUAUGUUUGCAAACUGGGUUCCUCAUUUUUGGGAAGAGCUUGCUGCAAGCAACACUGUAUUUGGAACAAACAAUAUGAAAAGCAGCCAGUGGAGCAGGUCUCUCAUUUUUAUAAAAUAGAAGCAACUAGUUGAGGUUGGAAGUGUUCUGUGUACUCUGGCUUAUUUAGAAGGCUUCAAAUAUUUUCACACAGCAAAGACUGGUCAUGAAACAAGCAUACAAAGUAUUUUUCAGCAAUAAUGUAACAUUUUCAGAAGCAGCAUAUGCCAUGUAAGUAUUUCAGGAAGAAUCCUAUCCCCUAAUUAUUUCAGCAGAUUUAGUUCUGUUACCUUUGUUUAAAACCUGCUCCCACUCUGACGAAGUAAUUUAUUAAGCCCAGACAAUCGUUUCUGACCUUUGCUCUCUAUCUCACUGUGAUGAUCCAACUGAGGGGGGGAAAAAAAAAAAAAAAAAGCAAGCAUCUGCCAAACCUUCCUUUGAGCUGGAGUGCUUCCUAGAGAGCAGGGAG